CUUGUUUUCAAGGAUAUCCUGGGAGGCAAUCCGCAGCGAAACUAGAUUGACAUCCUUGCCUUCCAAGAUAUCCUUCUUAAUAUGUGUUGGUACCAUGUGAGCCGGGUUAAUGAUUUUUGGAGUGAGCCAAUGAAUUUACCAGUCAGGGUGCUUGAGAGACCAGUAGUUUUUGGAGUAACCAAUCCAGCUGGAGCCACUGGCCUAUCAUUAGCAUCCAACCGAUCCAGUUUAUCCACAAUGAGGAUAGAACAGGUGAUAGUAUGGCAUGGAGCACAGGUGACUGUGCACCACUGGAGCCCCCACCAGCCCCAGUAUUGUCCGUGGUAGUAUUAAGUAACCUAUAUAACUCUGCCUUCCUGGCAGUGGCAGAGUAUGGAAUAUUCCUGCGUCUUAGUUCGGCCGUGAUCCUGGGUAUUGUGCAGGAUCUGCGAGAAGAUAGGCUGGCGUUGUCCCCUCCUUGAGAUGGACCUGGCUGGAGUACUGGGAAUGGACACCUCGUAAUUUGCUUCUGGUAGUUCAGACAUGCUAGAAUAGGAUAGAAUUAAAAUAGUAACUCAGGGAAAAGCAAUGUACUGGCUGGUCUAACUAAUGCCGAGCGGCGAAGAAAUUAACUGACAGGAAAGGGAAGCCCUUACUAGUUGCCAAGCGGCAUGAGAGGCUCUAGCUAUGUGUUAGCCCGAGGGGAUUGUUUGAGGCCAGUGCCGGGGUGAAGGCCUCUCGGUGACUAGUAAGGCAAAAGAUAGAAUGGGAGUGACCGGGGAGGCCCUUUCUAUACCAUGAUGCGAGGCGACUAACGAUGCGUUGGCAU